rnacentral:rRNA from 1 species
CAAGCGGUGGAUGAUGUGGAUUAAUUCGAUGCAACGCGAAAAACCUUACCUACCCUUGACAUGUACGGAAGACCGAAGAGAUUUGGUUGUGCUCGAAAGAGCACCGUAACACAGGUACUGCAUGGCUGUCGUCAGCUCGUGUCGUGAGAUGUUGGGUUAAGUCCCGCAACGAGCGCAACCCUUGUCAUUAGUUGCUACAUUUAGUUGAGCACUCUAAUGAGACUGCCGGUGACAAACCGGAGGAAGGUGGGGAUGACGUCAAGUCCUCAUGGCCCUUAUGGGUAGGGCUUCACACGUCAUACAAUGGUACAUACAGAGGGCCGCCAACCCGCGAGGGGGAGCUAAUCCCAGAAAGUGUAUCGUAGUCCGGAUCGCAGUCUGCAACUCGACUGCGUGAAGUUGGAAUCGCUAGUAAUCGCGGAUCAGCAUGUCGCGGUGAAUACGUUCCCCGGGUCUUGUACACACC